rnacentral:lncRNA from 1 species
UGAUGGCAAACUUUUCAUGUGAGAUGGCCAAUUCGGUCAAUCACCUCUGCGGUUUGAUUUGGCUGUUGUAACUUAACAGGUGAGGGGCAAUUCCUGUAUUGAGCAGAGCAUAAUUACUUGGGUAAUAUAAAAAAAAUUAAAAUUGAUCAGUUGAAAUAGGCCCAUUAAAUUGGGUGGCAUUUCAAAGAUUGUGUUACGUGAAACUUUAAUCAACACAAUAUUCUCAUACCUAGGACUCGUCCAUGGUGGUCGUAGAAAGACAUAAGAUCAAAUCUGAGGAUGAUUUUUGUAGUACUUUCACUUUUCAUCAUUUCACAGUCAAAUCAAGUAUCAUCGUCGCGUUUAUAGUGGCACUAGAACAUUUUCUAGGGACUCUUUAUCUCGUAGCAUCAACAAAUGUUUGACCAACAUCAUCUGAAAUAAUCUUGUUGUGGGGAUGUGGAAAGUACUGCCUGACCUAUAAUUAGGAAGUGAAACAAAAAUAACGGAGGAAAUGGACGAGGGAAGGACGGAUGUGACGGAUGUGAGAUGUUAUCUUUGAGCACGACAAUGAAAAAUAUAUACUAAGCCAAACAGAUGUAAAUUAAGUACAACAAAAAUCAAUUAGAAGCUCAAGAUCUGUGUCGAACAAAGUUAGAACAUUUUCUAGAGACUCUUUAUCUCGUAGCAUCAACGAAUGUUUGACCAACAUCAUCUGAAAUAAUCUUGUUGUGGGGAUGUGGAAAGUACUACCUGACCUAUAAUUAAGAAGUGAAACAAAAAUAACGGAGGAAAUGGACGAGGGAAGGACGGAUGUGACGGAUGUGUGAUGUUAUCUUUGAGCACGACAAUGAAAAAUAUAUACUAAGCCAAACAGAUGUAAAUUAAGUACAACAAAAAUCAAAUAGAAGCUCAAGAUCUGUGUCGAACGAAGUUUAAAUUAUUAGGCAUGAGACCAACAAUUGCAACCUAGUACGACUCAUUUUGGUUUUACUCGACUAAAAUAUCACGAGCUUUGCUCAGACAAAAUUGUGCACGUGUUUGAUUUUUGAUAAAGAUGUUUUACCAAUCAAAGGUUUAAUUAAGAGAAAAUGUCAAAGAAAUAGAAGUUAUGGACGUUUUCUGCAAAAAUA